CAGUGCGGAGUGGAGGUUGCACUGCCCAGCGCGUUUCUCGUUUGUAGUGUAAAUCUGUGCUCCGCCGUCCCGCUGACUCCACCCUCAGGGUCUUGGGAGUCACUACGGACCUUAACUCCCAGCAGCCGGCCCUCCGACCCAGUAAAUCCAGACAUCGCUGUUACAGGUCGGGGGACACGGGUUUGAGGCCUGGUCCAGGAAGAUCCCACGUGCUGCGGAGCAACUAAGCCCGUGCGCCACAACUACUGAGCCUGAGUGCCACAACUACUGAAGCCUGUGCGCCUAGAGCCCAUGCUCCACAACAAGAGAAGCCACCGCAAUGAGAAGCCUGUGCAUCGCAGUGAAGAGUAGCCCCCGCUCUCCGCAACUAGAGAAAGCCCGCGGGCAGCAACGAAGACCCAAUGCAGCCAAAAAUAAAUAAAUAAAUAAAUAAAUUUUAAAAAUAA